rnacentral:rRNA from 1 species
GAUGAACGCUGGCGGCGUGCUUAACACAUGCAAGUCGAACGAUGAUGCCCAGCUUGCUGGGUGGAUUAGUGGCGAACGGGUGAGUAACACGUGAGUAACCUGCCCUUGACUCUGGGAUAAGCCUGGGAAACUGGGUCUAAUACCGGAUACGACCAUCUGGCGCAUGUCAUGGUGGUGGAAAGCUUUUGUGGUUUUGGAUGGACUCGCGGCCUAUCAGCUUGUUGGUGGGGUAAUGGCCUACCAAGGCGACGACGGGUAGCCGGCCUGGGGGGGUGACCGGCCACACUGGGACUGAGACACGGCCCAGACUCCUACGGGAGGCAGCAGUUGGGAAUAUUGCACAAUGGGAGCAAGCCUGAUGCAGCGACGCCGCGUGAGGGAUGACGGCCUUCGGGUUGUAAACCUCGUUCAGUAGGGAAGAAGCGAAAGUGACGGUACCUGCAGAAGAAGCGCCGGCUAACUACGUG